rnacentral:rRNA from 1 species
AUUGAACGCUGGCGGCAUGCUUUACACAUGCAAGUCGAACGGUAACAGGCCGCAAGGUGCUGACGAGUGGCGAACGGGUGAGUAAUGCAUCGGAACGUGCCCAGUCGUGGGGGAUAACGCAGCGAAAGCUGCGCUAAUACCGCAUACGAUCUAUGGAUGAAAGCGGGGGACCGUAAGGCCUCGCGCGAUUGGAGCGGCCGAUGUCAGAUUAGGUAGUGGGUGGGGUAAAGGCUCACCAAGCCAACGAUCUGUAGCUGGUCUGAGGGGACGACCAGCCACACUGGGACUGAGACACGGCCCAGACUCCUACGGGAGGCAGCAGUGGGGAAUUUUGGACAAUGGGCGCAAGCCUGAUCCAGCAAUGCCGCGUGCAGGAAGAAGGCCUUCGGGUUGUAAACUGCUUUUGUACGGAACGAAACGGUCCUGGUUAAUACCCGGGGCUAAUGACGGUACCGUAAGAAUAAGCACCGGCUAACUACGUGCCAGCCGCCGCCGUAACAC